rnacentral:rRNA from 1 species
UCUGCCUAGUGGUGGGGGGAUAACGUUCGGAAACGGACGCUAAUACCGCAUACGUCCUACGGGAGAAAGCGGGGGGAUCUUCGGACCUCGCGCCAUUAGAUGAGCCUAGGUCGGAUUAGCUAGUUGGUGAGGUAAUGGCUCACCAAGGCGACGAUCCGUAACUGGUCUGAGAGGAUGAUCAGUCACACUGGAACUGAGACACGGUCCAGACUCCUACGGGAGGCAGCAGUGGGGAAUAUUGGACAAUGGGCGAAAGCCUGAUCCAGCCACGCCGCGUGUGUGAAGAAGGUCUUCGGAUUGUAAAGCACUUUAAGUUGGGAGGAAGGGUAGUAACCUAAUACGUUGCUACUUUGACGUUACCGACAGAAUAAGCACCGGCUAACUUCGUG